GUACUGUGCAAACGUUAUUCGGAAUCACUGGGCUUAAAGGGUGCGUAGGCGGUUGAUUAAGUAGGGUGUGAAAGCUCUCGGCCUAACCGAGGAAUUGCGCUCUAAACUGAUCGACUUGAGUGAGAUAGGGGUGUGCGGAACUUCCAGUGGAGCGGUGAAAUGUGUUGAUAUUGGAAGGAACGCCGGUGGCGAAAGCGGCACACUGGGUCUCAACUGACGCUGAGGCACGAAAGCCAGGGUAGCGAACGGGGGAUUAGAUACCCCGGUAGUCCUGGCUGUAAACGAUGAGCACUAGACGGGAGGAGCCUCGGCUCAUCCGGUCGCAGCGAAAGCAAUAAGUGCUCCGCCUGGGAGUAUGGUCGCAAGGCUG
rnacentral:rRNA from 1 species